GCUCCGGUAGUAUAGCCCGGCCAAGUAUUCCGGCCUUUCGAGCCGGGGCUGGAUACGCGGGUUCGAAUCCCGCCCGGAGCACCA
rnacentral:tRNA from 1 species